UGCUGGUCAAACCGGUGGUGGU
rnacentral:misc_RNA from 1 species